rnacentral:rRNA from 1 species
UGGGGAAUUUUCCGCAAUGGGCGCAAGCCUGACGGAGCAAGACCGCGUGAGGGAGGAAGGCUCUUGGGUUGUAAACCUCUUUUAUCAGGGAAGAAGCUCUGACGGUACCUGAUGAAUAAGCAUCGGCUAACUCCGUGCCAGCAGCCGCGGUAAUACGGAGGAUGCAAGCGUUAUCCGGAUUUAUUGGGCGUAAAGCGUCCGCAGGUGGUUUUUCAAGUCUGCUGUUAAAGCGCGAGGCUUAACCUCGUACAGGCAGUGGAAACUGAAUGACUAGAGUAUGGUAGGGGUAGCGGGAAUUCCCAGUGUAGCGGUGAAAUGCGUAGAUAUUGGGAAGAACACCAGCGGCGAAAGCGCGCUACUGGGCCAUUACUGACACUCAUGGACGAAAGCUAGGGGAGCGAAA